rnacentral:rRNA from 1 species
GUCGAACGAUGAUCCGGUGCUUGCGCCGGGGAUUAGUGGCGAACGGGUGAGUACACGUGAGUAACCUGCCCUUGACUCUGGGAUAAGCCUGGGAAACUGGGUCUAAUACCGGAUAUGACUUCUCAUCGCAUGGUGGGGGGUGGAAAGCUUUUUGUGGUUUUGGAUGGACUCGCGGCCUAUCAGCUUGUUGGUGGGGUAAUGGCCUACCAAGGCGACGACGGGUAGCCGGCCUGAGAGGGUGACCGGCCACACUGGGACUGAGACACGGCCCAGACUCCUACGGGAGGCAGCAGUGGGGAAUAUUGCACAAUGGGCGAAAGCCUGAUGCAGCGACGCCGCGUGAGGGAUGACGGCCUUCGGGUUGUAAACCUCUUUCAGUAGGGAAGAAGCCCUCUUUGGGGGUGACGGUACUUGCAGAAGAAGCGCCGGCUAACUACGUGCCAGCAGCCGCGGUAAUACGUAGGGCGCAAGCGUUAUCCGGAAUUAUUGGGCGUAAAGAGCUCGUAGGCGGUUUGUCGCGUCUGCUGUGAAAGACCGGGGCUCAACUCCGGUUCUGCAGUGGGUACGGGCAGACUAGAGUGCAGUAGGGGAGACUGGAAUUCCUGGUGUAGCGGUGAAAUGCGCAGAUAUCAGGAGGAACACCGAUGGCGAAGGCAGGUCUCUGGGCUGUAACUGACGCUGAGGAGCGAAAGCAUGGGGAGCGAACAGGAUUAGAUACCCUGGUAGUCCAUGCCGUAAACGUUGGGCACUAGGUGUGGGGGACAUUCCACGUUUUCCGCGCCGUAGCUAACGCAUUAAGUGCCCCGCCUGGGGAGUACGGCCGCAAGGCUAAAACUCAAAGGAAUUGACGGGGGCCCGCACAAGCGGCGGAGCAUGCGGAUUAAUUCGAUGCAACGCGAAGAACCUUACCAAGGCUUGACAUGGACCGGAAAGACCUGGAAACAGGUGCCCCGCUUGCGGCCGGUUUACAGGUGGUGCAUGGUUGUCGUCAGCUCGUGUCGUGAGAUGUUGGGUUAAGUCCCGCAACGAGCGCAACCCUCGUUCUAUGUUGCCAGCGGUUCGGCCGGG